UUGUUUCAAAAAAAUGAAAAUAUUAUGGAAAAACUGAUGAUUGUUUUUCAAGAUACACAAAGAUAUGUGGAUAACUUAAAAGUUUUACCUUGAAGGGGACGCCUGACGCUCUUUCGUGGAAGGCCUCUCUACAAACACAAGAAGUAGAAGCCCACAUUAGAUGUUCAUGUUAUUUCAUGAAGACCACCACAGAUUAACAGGAAAAAGUAAAUGAUUUUUAGAUUUAACUAAGGUGAUAUGACGUUACCUUUAUGUGAUUCUUUUUUUCUGGGGAUAUCUCCAAGGUCCUUCCGCUUUUGAAGAAUUUGUUUACGCAUACGUGCAUCAAAUUUGGACUCAUCGUCAUCAUCGUGGAAACAGAUAUUUCAAAUCUCUUUAAAGGAUGCAAAACAAAAAAACAGCAGUGGAAGAUACAGAUACGAAUACAAAUAUCUCAUAAUUACCUCUUCCUUGUUUGGGGCUUCCUUGAGGAGACGAGGAUCAUCCAAAACAUCAUGGCUACUCCGAAUGACGACUUUCACAGCUGCCAGCUCCUUCUCUUCCUGCUCUGCUUCUUCUCCAAAUGAAAGCAGGUUCAUCCUUCGGACGAGUAGAAGGCUUUACAGUUUGUCUUGGAAUAAUAUCAUCAAAAGGGUUCCAUAACACCUGCAACAAACGACAGUUUAAAAUUGAAUGAUACAAGAAGGUUGACAUAUGACAUGACUGAAAACCUCA